AUUGAACGCUGGCGGCAUGCCUUACACAUGCAAGUCGAACGGCAGCGCGGGAGCAAUCCUGGCGGCGAGUGGCGAACGGGUGAGUAAUAUAUCGGAACGUGCCCAGUAGUGGGGGAUAGCCCGGCGAAAGCCGGAUUAAUACCGCAUGAGACCUGAGGGUGAAAGCGGGGGAUCGCAAGACCUCGCGCUACUGGAGCGGCCGAUAUCAGAUUAGCUAGUUGGUGGGGUAAAGGCCUACCAAGGCAACGAUCUGUAGUUGGUCUGAGAGGACGACCAGCCACACUGGGACUGAGACACGGCCCAGACUCCUACGGGAGGCAGCAGUGGGGAAUUUUGGACAAUGGGCGCAAGCCUGAUCCAGCAAUGCCGCGUGCAGGAAGAAGGCCUUCGGGUUGU
rnacentral:rRNA from 1 species